AUGAAAAUAAUGCUUUACAUAUGACUGAGUUUAUCUCAUGCUCCAGAAUAAAAGCCUAUGCUUAUUCCAUGGGACAGGACUGCGCAGCUUCAGUACAUAAGAAUUCUGAAUGGCCUCUUGCCUCAGAAACUAACAUUGUUAUUCAUAAUGAGUUCCAGGACAAAUAAGAACAAUAAGGCUACAAUUAAAAGGGGCAACUGCUACUAUAGCUUAUAUAUACAUAUCAUGAAUUCUGCCUUAAUCUUUCCUGACCAUUGACUAUGUUAUUAACUCUCUAUGUAGAUUCAACUAUUCAACUGCUUAACUAUGUCUAAGCUACUAAUAAACCUUCCUGAAUGAAUAGCAGAUGAACAACUGAAUAUAAAUGAAAACAGAUGCCUCGAAGAAGAGAAUCUAGAAUUGUCAUCAACUCUUCAUGAUCACUACAUGUUUUCUCAUAUGCCCAUAGCACAUUGCCAAAGUUUAUUGACUUCUUCCAAAAUUUCUGUAUGAAAUUAUGAUUAUGACCUCAUAGAGUUCAGGAUUACUGACUAAAGAGCAUGCCUCCCCAGGAUGUUUUUCAAAGAAGCUGGUACCCCCAGGAGUGCUGGAGGAGGAAGGUACACAGAUGCAUUUGAGGACAUUACUAGCCUGAACGCUGCUCUAUGAGACAAUCUUCCAAAGUUUGACUCCUUUCAAAUCUGAGAACCUGGAGUCACUCCAUGAUCCAGAGACACAAGCAUUGGAAAGAGGUGGUCAAACUCAAUGAGAAAUGAAAUCGAACUGAGAAUCUUGCACUAAUUUGCCUCUUCCCAGUUGACCUCCCGGAGGGGUACAUUCCAUGAAGCUCCUAGGGAGUGCUCUCAAGGAAGGCAAUGACGUUGUUGAGAGGGUGUGCUCUGCCUCCCAUGCUGUAAGAAGGCAUCUCACAAACCACAGGUAAAUGUGAACUGAC
rnacentral:lncRNA from 1 species